rnacentral:rRNA from 1 species
AACAGGAUUAGAUACCCUGGUAGUCCACGCUGUAAACGAUGUCGAUUUGGAGGUUGUGCCCUUGAGGCGUGGCUUCCGGAGCUAACGCGUUAAAUCGACCGCCUGGGGAGUACGGCCGCAAGGUUAAAACUCAAAUGAAUUGACGGGGGCCCGCACAAGCGGUGGAGCAUGUGGUUUAAUUCGAUGCAACGCGAAGAACCUUACCUGGUCUUGACAUCCACAGAACUUUCCAGAGAUGGAUUGGUGCCUUCGGGAACUGUGAGACAGGUGCUGCAUGGCUGUCGUCAGCUCGUGUUGUGAAAUGUUGGGUUAAGUCCCGCAACGAGCGCAACCCUUAUCCUUUGUUGCCAGCGGUUAGGCCGGGAACUCAAAGGAGACUGCCAGUGAUAAACUGGAGGAAGGUGGGGAUGACGUCAAGUCAUCAUGGCCCUUACGACCAGGGCUACACACGUGCUACAAUGGCAUAUACAAAGAGAAGCGACCUCGCGAGAGCAAGCGGACCUCAUAAAGUAUGUCGUAGUCCGGAUUGGAGUCUGCAACUCGACUCCAUGAAGUCGGAAUCGCUAGUAAUCGUAGAUCAGAAUGCUACGGUGAAUACGUUCCCGGGCCUUGUACACACCGCCCGUCACACCAUGGGAGUGGGUUGCAAAAGAAGUAGGUAGCUUAACCUUCGGGAGGGCGCUUACCACUUUGUGAUUCAUGACUGGGGUGAAGUCGUAACAAGGUAACC